CAGAAAAAACUUUUUUCUUAUUUUUUGCAGACUUUGAAUAAUGAGAUGAGUACAGAUGAUGAUAAUGAAUAUGCAGAAGAAAAGGACAGCUACAUCUGUGCAGUGUGUCUGGAUGUUUACUUCAACCCUUACAUGUGUUACCCUUGCCACCACAUCUUCUGUGAGCCCUGUUUACGGACUCUAGCCAAAGACAAUCCUGCAAACACUCCCUGCCCAUUGUGUCGGACAAUUAUUUCAAGAGUGUUUUUCCAGACAGGUAACUCUUCUAUUCCAUUGACAUGAUUACUAGUUCUUCUAACUACCUUUUUGUUCUUCUUCUAAAGCAUUUUGU
rnacentral:lncRNA from 1 species